CCUACGGGAGGCUGCAGUGGGGAAUAUUGCACAAUGGGGGAAACCCUGAUGCAGCGACGCCGCGUGAGUGAAGAAGUAUUUCGGUAUGUAAAGCUCUAUCAGCAGGGAAGCAGAAAGACGGUACCUGACUAAGAAGCCCCGGCUAACUACGUGCCAGCAGCCGCGGUAAUACGUAGGGGGCAAGCGUUAUCCGGAUUUACUGGGUGUAAAGGGAGCGUAGACGGCUGUGCAAGUCUGAAGGGAAAGGCCAGGGCUCAACCCUGGGACUGCUGUGGAAACUGGGGGGCUAGAGUGCGGGAGAGGUAAGUGGAAUUCCUGGUGUAGCGGUGAAAUGCGUAGAUAUUAGGAGGAACACCAGUGGCGAAGGCAGCUUACUGGACAGUAACUGACGUUGAGGCACGAAAGCGUGGGGAGCGAACAGGAUUAGAUACCCGGGUAGUC
rnacentral:rRNA from 1 species